CAAGCUGCAAUACCCGUUUUCUGGGUAUGAUAUAUAUAUAUAUAUAUAUAGAUCUUUUGAACACUCCUUUGUCGAACAUGUCGCUGAAACACGAAACACGGGCAUUUUGUACAAUACUCUCGCUGCAGUCGAGUUGAUUUACUAGUUUGCAUUCGAAUUUUAUUCAGUGUCGAUUAAGUUUAUAACUAUUUAAAUUGGUGAACUACUUGGUGGGAGUCCCACGGCGUUGUGCGUGUGUGGUCUGUGCAUUUGGUCAGAGCGCAUGGACCAUUUCCCAACCCGGUGAGUAAAUGCACACACGCGGUCCGUUUAGUUUGGUAGUGUAACUGGUGAGCUAUAUUAACACGACGAACGAGAGAGGGCUUUCACACCGAGUAGGGUUUGUACGGGUCUCCAUGAGCCACCGAGAAGGGUGGUUUCCCCCUUUCCGUGGAGAGGAGGAAGAGGGAGGGAAGCAGAGGGGCCGUUGUGUUUUUGUGUUUUGGAAAGCGGCCAGGACGGGGGAGCCCAGGACUGACUGAGGGCGGGAAAAAGGGGGGAUGAAAUACAUGGGAGAGACAGACAUAUACACACAGCACCAUUUCUAGUGUAUACAGGACCAUUUUUCUUGAAGGAACACACACAAAGUAAAAAUAGUAAAAUAUUCCAGCCAUAUAUAAUGUAUUAUAUAGUGUAGGCUGUAUAAAAAUAUAUCUUUAUAACAUAAAUGUAUCUUUUCAGAACCCAAGGGAGAAUAUACAAAAUAAAUUACAGAUUUCUGAGACAUUUUGCAAUCAUUUUGGAGGCAAAUGCAGUAAACAAUAUUAAUAUAAUUAGCCCCCACCUCCCACCCCAAAACUAUUGAUAUCUUUUUAAAUGUCAAUAAGAUUUCAACAUUAGGGCAGAAUGAAACAGGGCAUGACAAACAGUAUAAGAAAUUCCAAUACUGGAAUGAGACCAAAAAUGUAGACUUUUCAUUUCAUAGAUACAAUAGAUAAAAUACAUAAAAUUUUCAUUUAUCAUGCUGUACUUUGACAGGACAAGAGUUAAAAUCUUAGCAUGACAAUGACCACAAGCACAGAGAUUUGAAGACAUGGCCUUUUCUUUCUCAGUGAAUGACCUGCUCCUGACAAAAGUGACAGGCAAAGACAGGAUAUGGUAGAUAAAAAUGAAGACUCUUUCCCCUCCACCUGGUAGCAUGUGACUCAGUUAGUGCACAUAAGCAAAAAUAGGAACAAUACAAAGUGAAAAUUCUGAAUCACAGGCAUUGAAAUGGUGUUCUGCUAAACAAUGAAUAGGAUAAAGUAUUUUUAAAGGACUGACAGAUUUCUUGAGUCAUAUCUACAUAACAUACACUACCAGUCAAAAGUUUGGACACAACUUUUAAUUCAAUGUUUUUUGUUCAGGGAUUUAUUUUCUACAUUCUAGAACAAUACUGGAGAUUUCAAAACUAUGAAAUAACACACAUGGACUUAAGUAAUCCAUAUGUAAUGACAACAAAAAACAACAGCCAGUUGUUAUUUUAAGACACGAAGGUCAGGUGUUCUGGAAUAGUUCUUGCAAGAACAGUAUUGUCAAGUGCAUUUGCAAAACCCAUCAAGCACCAUGAUGAAACUGGCUCACAUGAAGACCAUCCCAGUAAAGCAAGACCAAAACUUACCUCUGCUGCAGAGGAGAAGUUCAUUUAGAGUUACCAGCCUCAGAAAUCACCAAUUAACAGCACCUCAGAUUAGAGCCGUUAUGAAGGCUUUACAGAGCAUCAGUAGCAGACAUAUCUCAAUAUCAACUGUUCAAACGAGAUUAUUGUGUAUUUCGGCCGCCUUCAGCAUUGUUUUACAAUGUAGAAAGAAAUAAACAUCAGGAAAGACCAUGGUAUUAGAAGAUGUGUCCAAACUUUUGACUGGUAGUGUAUGUUACAUUGGAAAUACAUGAUUAAAAAAAGAGAUGUACAUUCAGAACAGUCGACUGACUGUGCUGUAAGUACAUCUCUUUUUUUUCCAUGUAUUUCCAAUGUAACUUGUCUUUGUCUCUGAUUACUCCUUAAACCCAAGACAGGUGCCAGUGCUGAAUUACCCUAAUAUUAGUGCCCUUUUUCUCAUUCAUCCCACAGCAAGGUGAUGAGCAAAUUUCUUCACUCUUUAAGAGAUUGAGCCUGUGGAACUGGAAUCACAGGGAAAAAAAAGAAAUUGGACAGAGUAAAUAGAUAAUUUAACUGGAAGAAUGACUGAGAAAGGGUUAUGAACAUGUAUUGCAAGAUAGAGGAAUGUCUUCCUGUACACAUCAUCUGUGAUGCCAUUUUUCUUAUGCAUUCUUUACUUUUCUUCAUGGAUAAUGGCAGGUUUCUAUUUGUUUUAAAGCUGAUAGCCUACUUCAAGUUGUGUCUUGAUCUCAACUUCGAGACUUUACCCGACAUAAAAUGGAAUUUGAAUAAUCUUAUAGUUGCAUUACAAAUACUAAUAUCAUUAGUAUUAGUAUUAUUAAUAUAUAAAAUAUUACAAUUUUAUCCCUAUUUUAUCCCUAAUGAGCAAGCCUGUGGUGACGGUGGCAAGGAACCAGGCUCAGAAGGGAACCCAUCCUCAUUUGGGUGACACUGAACAGUAAAUGUAAAUCUAACUAAAUAAUGCCCUUUCUACAACAGCAACCAAGGGCUCCUUGCUCCUUGCAGCAACCAAGGGCUCCUUGCUGUCACAAGCUGACAGAUGUAACGGCAGUUUUGUGAUGGUGUGAUAGUCCCCAAGUGGCUCUGUCCACGGCUGUCUCCUGGUCACAGGCUGUCCACACAGAUCCAUCCACAGCAUCAAUGAGCACCACCAAGCGACAAGACACCAACCAGGGGAAGAGCUGGUCACACUGGAAACUCAGAACACUGGGAGCUCAGGAUGUACAGCUCGAGAGAGAGAGAGAUAUUAAGUAUGCUUGUGAUCUUGUGAUGUUUAAAGACAAUGUAGAUUAUGUGUAAAGUGCAGACAGGGACUCCGGCAAGACUAGCUAUAACAGCAUAACUAAAAGGGAGAGCCAGAAAGAGACAGACAUGAAAGCUUCCCGGGACAUAAAGCGUCCAACCACUUCACAGUCAGCAAACCUGAGUGACUUGCGAGGGUGGUAAGGCGACAGCAUCCAAACCUCCCAGUACACCAAACACUCUAUGCCCAUGAACCUCCCAGAUCUGCUCCUUUCCCUAAGAAAAACAUUGAAAGCUUGACUAAACAAAUGUGUCUUCAGCCUAGACUUAAACAUUGAGACUGUGUCUGAAUCCCGAACACUAAUUGGAAGGCUGUUCCAUAACUGUGGGGCUUUAAAAGAAAAAGCUUUGCCCCCUGCUGUAGCCUUUGCUACUUGAGGUACUACCAAAUAACCUGCACCCUUUGAUCGGAAUAGGCGUGGCAGAUCAAGACUAAAAGAUCGCUCAGGUACUGCGGUGCGAGACCAUUUAGUGCUUUAUAGGUCAGUAACAGGAUUUUAUAAUCAAUGCGAAAUUUCACUGGGAGCCAAUGUAGUGUGGCUAAGAUAGGAGUGAUGUGUUCAUAUCUUCUGGUUCUAGUUAGGACUCUAGCUGCUGCAUUCUGGACUAACUGGAGCUUGCCUAUGCUCCUACUGGAACAUCCAGACAGUAAGGCAUUACAAUAAUCCAACCUAGAGGUAACAGAAGCAUGAACAAGUUUUGCUUCAUGAAGUGACAUUAUAUUUCUUAUCUUUCUUUCUUUCUUUCUUUCUUAUCUUUUAUCAAUAUUUCUGAGAUGAAACAAGGCUACCCUAGUGAUAUCUACAUGAGCUUCAAACGAAAGACCAGAGUCAAUAAUCACACCAAGAUCUUUUACUGCUGGACAAGAUGAAACAAAGACCAUCCACCAUUACUCUGUAAUCAGAAAGCUUACUUCUAGCUGCAUGUGGUCCUAGUACAAGCACCUCUGUCUUAUCAGAGUUAAGCAGGAGGAAGUUAAUAAGCAUUCACUGUCUAAUGUCCUUUACACAUUCUUCAAUUAUAAUAAGCUGGUGUCUCUCACCUGACUAGGCUGAAAACAUCGGCAUCAGCAGUGGAAGCUAAUACCAUGUUUACGAAUAAUUGCACCCAGGCUGUUUUGCAAUAUAAUUGCAUAUAUAAGGAGAAAAGCAGUGGGCCUAAGACAGAACCUUGUGGAACACAGAACAUAACUUUGGUAUGCAUAGAGAAGUCACCAUCUAGAUCUAUAAACUGAUAAUGAUCAGUAAAAUAAGACCUGAGCCAGGAGAGGGCUGUUCCUUUAACACCAACAACAUAUUCUAGAUUAUGAAGUAGAAUGGUGUGGUCAAUGGUGUCGGAAGCUUCACUUAGAUCGAGUAACACCAGCAUGGAGAGACAACCCUGACCAGAGGCCAGUAACAGGUCAUUUACCACUUUAACCAGUGCUGUCUCUGUGCUAUGAUGAGGUCAUGAAUGAAUGUUAUUCUUAUGUAGGUGUAACUGCUGUGCUACUGCCUUUUCUAGGAUCUUGGAGAUAAAGGGCAGGUUUGAUAUUGGCCUAUAGUUAGACAGCUGACAGGGAUCGAGGUCUGGGUUUUUAAUCAUGGGUUUGAUACCUGCUAGCUUAAAAGAUUUAGGCACAUAGCCAGUGCUAAGGGAAGAAUUUAUAAUUUUUAGAAGGGGUUCAGUAGCUACUGGUAAUAUCUGUUUAACAAAACACGUAGGCAAGGGAUCUAGUAUGCAGGUUGAAUGUUUUGAAGAUGAAAUUAGUGAAAUUAGAUCAGGCUCUUGAAGUGGAGUGAAGCAUUCUAAGCUCUGAUCAGAAUUAUUAUUAUCGAAAGGGUUAUCUAAUCAAAUAAUUUGGUGUUAAAUUAAUAGUCUGAAUUUUUUGCCUGAUAUUAUCAAUUUUUCCAUUGUAAAAAUACAUUAAGUCAUUGCUGCUGCAUAUAGAGGGUGUGCUUUUCUACAGCUGUUUUAUUCCUAGUUAGUUUUGCUACAGUACUAAAAAAUUUAGGAUUGUUUUUUGUUAUCUUCGAUUAGGGCAGAGAGAUGCGCAGAGAGUACUCUGAGUAUUUUUAGCUCAGAAGGCUUUCCUUCCACGUUAACUGAAAUAUUGCCAAUUUAGUUUGAAGGCAUUUAUGUUCUAAACUCCUGAUCAGUAAUCAGUUAUUUAAUAAUAAGUGCUUAAGAUGAAAGAUCUUAUAUUUAACAGUCCUAGCUUCAGAUCAACUAUGAUCUAGUUUAAUGUUAAUCAGGUUACUAAAGCGAAUUUUCUGAUUGUUAAAACAUUUUUGUUUAGCUCGGGUAACAGACACAGUCUCAAUGUUGUGAACCCUGGGUGACAACUCUUUGCAGCUAGCAGACGGUCGGAUUAGCCUGCUUGUCUGCUCUCUGGCCCUGGCUUUGGAUUGUCACCUAUUAACUAGACCUUCUCUAAGACUAUGUGCUAUGCUACAAGAAAUGAGAGCAGCACCUUCCCGAGUGGGAUGGACACCGUCCCAUCCUAACAGGCCAGCCUUGCCCUCAAACGAGCUCCCACAUUGUUUUUGGAGCACCACCUGGACAUCCAGCAGUUCAGCGACCAUAACCUGCUGUAAGCUAUAUCGCCACAUCACAUUGGGAUACAAUAUUACUCUUAAUAACCUCAGACUGACGAAGGCUUAUAUCGUUAGCACCUACAUGGAAGACUAUCUUCGAGAACCUAUGCUUGCCUAGGAUCCUAAGAUUACCUGCUAUGUUUGGCACCCUGGCUCCUGCAAUACACCUGAUGUGCACUGCUGGAGCCCCAAAAAGCCUAGCUAAUUUCACAUGCCUUAAGAGAGUCUCCUAUAACCAGAGCCCUUUCUUCCUAUAACCAGUUUCUCAGCAGGUGCUUCACUGAGGAGAGCAAACCUGUUGGGCAUGUGGAGGGGAGUGGUGGUCCCGUGGGCAAGCCUUAGUGUUAGCCUUGGCUUUGCGACUAUGCUGCUGAGUCGUCACCCAUUCGCCCCACAAUGAGGGCUCUAAUGCUGGAGUUUGGGGGUUACUACCUCCACCUGAGACAUACAGACUUUACCCUACAGACACUACACUACUCUCGCUAUCACUAACCCUUCCCAGUACUGUAUGAUUACGUACCCUUUAAGUGAAUUUGACCUGGACAAUAAAGAGCUCCGAAGUGGGUUUGCUCUGAAUGCUGUUUGAAGA